UUCUUAGACAGGAUCAAGCAAGCUUACGACAGGAACGCAGAGCUGGCUAACCUCUUGGUGGAUCCCGAGUUUGCGAAAGAGAUCAUCGAGAGGCAGUCGGCUUGGAGGAGAGUGGUCUGCUUGAGCAUCAACUCGGGUAUUAGCACUCCUGGUAUGUCUGCGAGUCUGGCGUACUUCGAUUCUUACAGGAGAGAGAGGCUGCCGGCGAACCUUGUACAAGCUCAGAGAGAUUACUUUGGUGCUCAUACUUAUGAAAGGACUGAUGUUGAAGGUUCUUUCCACACCGAGUGGUUCAAGAUCGCAAGACAAUCCAAAUCCAACAUGUAAUGAUGAUGUUUCACUCUCCGUUUCUCUCCUUC
rnacentral:lncRNA from 1 species